CCUGGGUGAUGUGCUUCUCGGGUGUCCCCCUGUGCGCGGGGGGGUGGGGGAAGAGGGUUGGGCACGGCGGG
rnacentral:precursor_RNA from 1 species